rnacentral:rRNA from 1 species
AUUGAACGCUGGCGGCAGGCCUAACACAUGCAAGUCGAGCGGAUGAAGGGAGCUUGCUCCUGGAUUCAGCGGCGGACGGGUGAGUAAUGCCUAGGAAUCUGCCUGGUAUUGGGGGAUAACGUCCGGAAACGGGCGCUAAUACCGCAUACGUCCUGAGGGAGAAAGUGGGGGAUCUUCGGACCUCACGCUAUCAGAUGAGCCUAGGUCGGAUUAGCUAGUUGGUGGGGUAAAGGCCUACCAAGGCGACGAUCCGUAACUGGUCUGAGAGGAUGAUCAGUCACACUGGAACUGAGACACGGUCCAGACUCCUACGGGAGGCAGCAGUGGGGAAUAUUGGACAAUGGGCGAAAGCCUGAUACAGCCAUGCCGCGUGUGUGAAGAAGGUCUUCGGAUUGUAAAGCACUUUAAGUUGGGAGGAAGGGCAGUAAGUUAAUACCUUGCUGUUUUGACGUUACCAACAGAAUAAGCACCGGCUAACUUCGUG